UAAUGCCACCAGGUAUCUGAUGCUCUGUUAAUUUUAUGGCUGAGCUUCUCGUAAGUGUGGCAGAGAUGGAAGGGAAGAACAGGCCUUGCGACACAGGAUGCUCAUUUUUUGAAGUGUGCUUCCUGUUACUAAAUCCUGUUUACAUCU